rnacentral:sRNA from 1 species
AGAUGGAGCACGUCGCAGGCUAUCGCCCCCGCCGCGACGUGUUCCGGGAACGGGCGAAGGUCCGUUCCCACCGAUACCUUCCGGAAGGAGAAUGCCCCCCUCCGUCGGAAGGUGCGGCGGGCGGUGAGGUCCCCCCAGCUUCACCGCCCGUACUU